rnacentral:rRNA from 1 species
UACGUAGGUGGCAAGCGUUGUCCGGAUUUAUUGGGUUUAAAGGGUGCGUAGGCGGCUUUGUAAGUCAGUGGUGAAAUAUGGCAGCUCAACUGUCAAGGUGCCAUUGAUACUGCGGAGCUUGAGUACAGAUGAGGUAGGCGGAAUUGACGGUGUAGCGGUGAAAUGCUUAGAUAUCGUCAAGAACACCUAUAGCGAAGGCAGCUUACCAGGCUGUAACUGACGCUGAGGCACGAAAGUGUGGGGAUCAAACAGG